UGACCGGGCCGGGCGGUCGCGGCGUGCUCCGACACGUCGAGGAAAGUCCGGGCUCCGUAGGGCAAGGCGCUUCGUAACACGAAGGCGGAGUGAUCCGACGGAAAGUGGCACAGAAACCAUACCGCCGGCGCAAGCCGGUAAGGGUGAAAAGGUGCGGUAAGAGCGCACCAGCACCAUGGUGACAUGGCGGCUGGCUAAACCCCGCCUGGAGCAAGUCCAAAUAGGGAACCUGUGGCGUGGCCCGCGCCGGUUCCGGGUAGGACGCUAGAGGCGCGCGGUGACGCGCGUCCCAGAGGAAUGACCGCCACGGGGCACACGCCCCGUACAGAACCCGGCUUACAGGCCCGAUCAUCCC
rnacentral:RNase_P_RNA from 1 species